rnacentral:rRNA from 1 species
AUUGAACGCUGGCGGCAGGCCUAACACAUGCAAGUCGAGCGAGCGGCGGACGGGUGAGUAAUGUAUGGGGACUGCCCGAUCGAGGGGGCUAACUACUGGAAACGGUGGCUAAUACCGCAUACUACCCUUUAACCCACAUGGGAUUAGCUAGUGGGUGGGGUAAAGGCUCACCUAGGCGACGAUCACUAGCUGGUCUGAGAGGCUGAUCAGCCACACUGGGACGGAGACACGGCCCAGACUCCUACGGAGGCAGCAGUGGGGAAUAUUGCACAAUGGGCGAAAGCCUGAUGCAGCCAUGCCGCGUGUAUGAAGAAGGCCUUAGGGUUGUAAAGUACUUUCAGCGGGGAGGCGUUACCCGCAGAAGAAGCACCGGCUAACUCCGUGCCAGCAGCCGCGGUAAUUC